CAGCCGAAUAACAAUAAAGAAAUGACGUCACCGCAAGCUAAUGCCAAUUACCGCAGGGAACAAAGUUGCAGAAUGAAUUUAUAUUAAAUUGAUCGAUUGGCUCCCCACACCUUCAUGCCCGUAUAUUCUCAUGUAUUACCACGCUGAAAAAAUUGUUCAGACGAGGUCUCCCUUAGAAGGUCUACAGCGAUAACCCCACCAACUUCGUGGGAGCAGCGAACGUCCUGAAGGACCUCCAGGCCCGAAGCAGUAGCUACCUGACCACCCUGCAGCAGCGCAGACAAUGGUCCAAGGACGUGCCCAACUUGGAAGUAGGAUGCCUCGUUCUGGUACACGAGGACAACACACAAUAGUGAGCGUGGUGGAGACGCCGACCGCACUCUUCAAGCGGCCACUACACAAGGUGACAGUGCUACUAAUAGUUUAAGCCCUUAGACCUUCACGGGGCCGGAAUGUUAAAACAGCUCAAACCAAAUGAAGAAAACCAAAUAAUGUAAACGUGUAGAGUGCAGCGAUGUUUCUCACAAGCACAGUUAAGCGUUGUUCUUGUCGUUACUCGUCUUAGCAGCGACAAGCCUCUUCGAUAGUUGUAAGCAGGAUAUGUUCUCGAGCUUUGCAGUCAAACAGAAGCGAUUAAAGUGUAAAGAAGAAAGCUUGUGUUUUUUCAUUGCAAGCAGACAUCGGUCGGUAAAAUGCUCUUAGACGUCGUUUAUUAGUUAAAUUUGUUAACUAACUAGAAAUUAUUGGAUUAUUUAAUCGUGAAAACGCUUACGAAUUUUUCACCCACUACUAUUAAUUUAUACUUGCGGCGCUGAUCAAAAGGACGGACGCUGCCGCCGCCAACGCCUGGCGAGGAGGUGAGCAAAUUACGCUUAUGCUCGUAAGUCUUUUGCGUGAGAUCUGGAAAACUUUUAACGCUUCUUAGUGCGAAGUUGCGCUUCCACACUGCCUGUCCCAGUUCCAGAUGGAGUUGGCGCACGCGUUGAUCAUAGCGUUGACGACUUCGCUCGUAGGUCAGAUAUGCUUUAAUCCGCCAACGACUUUAGCUUCCGGGCCAGUUUGUAACUGGAACCAUUCAGGUACAUGUGCUGGCCAAAGGCGGCAAAGAACAGAGACACCCCCGUAGCACUGUGCACCGCAUUCCGGAUCGCCACUUCUACUUCUGACAGCACAGUGCGGUUCACGCGUUCGGCGGAUACAUUGGGGUAUGCUAAUGCGUAAUGCCAAACGCCUGGACCAUUGCGUCGGACGACUUUGAUAUGAAUUGCCGCCCAUUAUCCGAAUGGAUCCCUUCCAACAUGCCAAAUUUGAAAAACACUUCAUGGACUAGGAAUUUGACGAC